GAUGAACGCUGGCGGCGUGCCUAAUACAUGCCAGUCGAGCGAACAGACGAGGAGCUUGCUCCUUCGACGUUAGCGGCGGACGGGUGAGUAACACGUAGGUAACCUACCUAUAAGACUGGGAUAACUUCGGGAAACCGGAGCUAAUACCGGAUAAUAUUUCGAACCGCAUGGUUCGAUAGUGAAAGAUGGCUUUGCUAUCACUUAUAGAUGGACCUGCGCCGUAUUAGCUAGUUGGUAAGGUAACGGCUUACCAAGGCAACGAUACGUAGCCGACCUGAGAGGGUGAUCGGCCACACUGGAACUGAGACACGGUCCAGACUCCUACGGGAGGCAGCAGUAGGGAAUCUUCCGCAAUGGGCGAAGGCCUGACGGAGCAACGCCGCGUGAGUGAUGAAGGUCUUCGGAUCGUAAAACUCUGUUAUUAGGGAAGAACAAACGUGUAAGUAACUGUGCACGUCUUGACGGUACCUAAUCAGAAAGCCACGGCUAACUACGUG
rnacentral:rRNA from 1 species